rfam:Flavobacterium johnsoniae TW101, complete genome.
AAUACAGAGGAAAAAUUUGAACUGAUUGCAACCUCUUCAUAAUGAAACGGUUCAUUAUGGAUGCCGAAACAAAGAUUUCGGUAGUAAAAAAUGCUAAAGCAGGAACU